GUGUGCAGCUUGCUGGGAGGGUUUUUUAUUUUAACUCCCUAGGAGCUGGGCCUUCGCUUGUGCUGGAUCUGAAGAAAGCCGAUUAUUUGAACCUGGGGAGGGAGCGCUGGCCGUAAACCCUGCACGCUGGAGGCGGAGCCAGGCGGCGUUUCAGGCCAGCCUGGUGUACACGUUCCAGCAAUCCCGUGACCUACGCAGAGAAACCCUGUCUCGUAGAACAACAAAGAGAGAGAGAGACAGAGACAGAUAAAAAUGGAUGUAUUUUACCUCAUACUAUAGAAAAGAGCUGUAUCUAUGGUGGCAGGCUCUGUGUAAUUCCCAACACUGAGGAGGCUGAGGCAUGAAGAGUUAGCCUGGACUACACUGAUAUCUUGUAAGGAUCAGAUAAGAGUGAGAAAAUCUGGGGGCUGGAGCGAUGGCUCAGCGGUUAAGAGCACUGACUGCUUUUCCAAAGGUCCUGAGUUCAAAUCUCAGCAACGACAUGGUGGCUCACAACCAUCUGUAAUGAGAUCUGACUCCCUCUUCUGGAGUGUCUGAAGACAGCUACAGUGUAAUUAUUUAUAAUAAUAAAUAAAUCUUUAAAAAAGAAAAAGAGUGAGAAAAUCUGGCAUGCUAUUGCACAGCAAGGUGACAGCAGACAAUGGGUUUGCUGUAUAUUUUCUAAAGGUAGAAAGGUUUUGAAUGUUUUCACCACAAACGAUAUCUGAGAAGAUAUGCCUAACCCAAUUUAAAGAAUACAAUAUGUGUGUGUCAAAAGUAAUGUAUUCCUUAUGAAGAUGAUACUUACAUAAACAUAUGUAAAAUUUAUAUGUUUUAAUGUAGUUUAAUUUUAUUUUAAAUUAAAAUGAUGCUCUGGAAGAAAAUAAAAAGCUGAACCCAGCACC
rnacentral:lncRNA from 1 species